rnacentral:rRNA from 1 species
CCUACGGGUGGCAGCAGUGGGGGAUAUUGCACAAUGGGGGAAACCCUGAUGCAGCGACGCCGCGUGUGGGAAGACGGUCUUCUGGAUUGUAAACCACUGUCCCCAGGGACGAAGAUGACGGUACCUGGGGAGGAAGCGCCGGCUAACUACGCGCCAGCAGCCGCGGUAAUACGUAGGGAGCGAGCGUUGUCCGGAAUUACUGGGGGUAAGGGGAGCGGAGGCGGGACUGCAAGUUGGGUGUCAAAUCUACCGGCUCAACCGGUAGCCGCACUCAAAACUGGAGGUCUUGAGUGAAGUAGAGGCAGGCGGAAUGCCUGGUGUAGCGGUGAAAUGCGUAGAUAUUAGGAGGAACACCAGUGGCGAAGGCGGCCUGCUGGGCUUUUACUGACGCUGAGGCUCGAAAGUGUGGGGAGCAAACAGGAUUAGAUACCCGGGUAGUC